UACGAAGGGGGCUAGCGUUGUUCGGAUUUACUGGGCGUAAAGCGCACGUAGGCGGAUCUUUAAGUCAGAGGUGAAAUCCCAAGGCUCAACCUUGGAACUGCCUUUGAUACUGGGGAUCUUGAGUCCGGGAGAGGUGAGUGGAACUGCGAGUGUAGAGGUGAAAUUCGUAGAUAUUCGCAAGAACACCAGUGGGGAAGGCGGCUCAGGGGCCCGGAACUGACGCUGAGGUGCGAAAGCGUGGUGAGCAAACAGG
rnacentral:rRNA from 1 species